GGGAUUUGGAGUCCCGCCCCUUAAGCUCCGAGGGUGAUGGGCGUGGCCGGGGCGGUGCUUGCCAGGAAUGGCGGCGGUCACGGUAAACAGUGCCAAGCGGGGCCUGCGGGCCGAGCUGAAGCAGCGCUUGAGGGCCUUGAGCGCGGAGGAACGGCUGCGCCAGUCUCUCCUCCUCACGCAGAAGGUGAUUGCCCACAAUCAGUAUCAGAAUUCCAAAAGAAUUUCCAUCUUUCUGAGCAUGCAAGAUGAAGUUGAGACGGAAGUAAUCAUCAAGGACAUUUUCAAACAAGGCAAAAUCUGCUUCAUCCCUCAGUACCAAUUCCAGAGCAAUCACAUGGACAUGGUGAGGUUAACGUCACCUGAAGAAAUUGCUUUACUUCCCAAGACAUCUUGGAAUAUUCAUCAGCCUGGUGAGGGAGAUGUUCGGGAGGAGGCCUUAUCCACUGAUGCUGAGGCCACAAUGCAUGCCACUGUCCCCAUGUGUUUAGUGCUGGAGAUCAACCUGGGGCACUGUGUGUGCUUGUUUUCAAAAGGAGGUGUGCAAACUGGAUUUCUCGAGGCUGUGUUGGAUGAAUUGCAUACCUUUCUCCAAGCCCAGCAGAGUCAGUGUUUCGCAGAUGUACAGACUAAAGCAGUGCCUUCGUCCACAGUCUUCACAUGUGUGUGUUCCUUAGUCAUUUAAUCACUGAAGUGGGGUCAGCUGGAGACCACCCAAGUCAGGUUUUUACCUGGAGAAACUCCUUCUAUAUCACAUGACAGGAUGGCAACUGUAGCCUCUGGAUCAAGUCUGGUCCUCUACCUAUUUUAGUGGACUUGACCUCAUCUUCCUUCCUGGCCUCGGGUUUGACAAAGAUGGCAACCGGCUGGGGCGGGGUAAGGGGUACUAUGACACCUACCUGAAGCGCUGUGUACAGCAUCAGGAAGUGAAGCCCUACACCAUGGCUUUGGCUUUUAAAGAGCAGAUCUGUCCCCAGAUCCCAGUGGAUGAGCAUGACAUGAAGGUAGAUGAAGUCCUUUAUGAAGAUUCCCCAGCAUCCUAAGUUACACAACGACGGCUACACUUACUGCUCUGUCCCGGUGUAAAGAACAUAUGUAUAUUUUUCUCUUGUCAAAAUGAAUCAAAAUGGCACAUUAAAGUGAAUAUGGGUUGUGAUUUUAAGUGUAAAAAUAAAAUAAUAUAAAAUCCUAUUUAGAAAUCAAUAGAAAUUAUUAGAAUAUUAAUGCAAAUGGAGGUGGAAACCGCAUGGUUUUCAGCUUAGCUUUCUGGUGUCAAGAUGGUAAGUUGACCUUUCUGUCUUUUAGUUUAGAUGAAAUAUUUAUAAGUAUUAGAGAAACAGAAAUUGGGUGUGAAUGGAGGCACGAUUUUUUUUUUCCAUUUUUUAUUAGGUAUUUAACUCAUUUACAUUUCCAAUGCUAUACCAAAAGUCCCCCAUAUCCACCCACCCCCACUCCCCUGCCCACCCACUCCCCCUUUUUGGCCCUGGUAUUCCCCUGUACUGGGGCAUAUAAAGUUUGCAAGUCCAAUGGGCCUCUCUUUCCAGUGAUGGCCGACUAGGCCAUCUUUUGAUAUAUAUGCAGCUAGAGUCAAGAGCUCCGGGGUACUGGUUAGCUCAUAAUGUUGUUCCACCUAUAGGGUUGCAGAUCCCUUUAGCUCCUUGGCUACUUUCUCUAGCUCCUCCAUUGGGAGCCCUAUGAUCCAUCCAUUAGCUGACUGUGAGCAUCCACUUCUGUGUUUGCUGGGCCCCGGCAUAGUCUCACAAGAGACAGCUACAUCUGCGUCCUUUCAAUAAAAUCUUGCUAGUGUAUGCAAUGGUGUCAGCGUUUGGAUGCUGAUUAUGGGGUGGAUCCCUGGAUAUGGCAGUCUCUACAUGGUCCAUCCUUUCAUCUCAGCUCCAAACUCCGUCUCUGUAACUCCUUCCAUGGGUGUUUUGUUCCCAAAUCUAAGGAGGGGCAUAGUGUCCACACUUCAGUCUUCAUUCUCCUUGAGUUUCAUGUGUUUAGCAAAUUAUAUCUUAUAUCCUGGGUAUCCUAGGUUUGGGGCUAAUAUCCACUUAUCAGUGAAUACAUAUUGUGUGAGUUUCUUUGUGAAUGUGUUACCUCACUCAGGAUGAUGCCCUCCAGGUCCAUCCAUUUGGCUAGGAAUUUCAUAAAUUCAUUCUUUUUAAUAGCUGAGUAGUACUCCAUUGUGUAGAUGUACCACAUUUUCUGUAUCCAUUCCUCUGUUGAGGGGCAUCUAGGUUCUUUCCAGCUUCUGGCUAUUAUAAAUAAGGCUGCUAUGAACAUAGUGGAGCAUGUGUCCUUCUUACCUGUUGGGGCAUCUUCUGGAUAUAAGAGGCACGAUUUCUUAAUAUGCAGUCAUAGGCCUGAUUGCUCUGGCAUAUGGAGACUCAGUUGUUAUUAAUUGGUUUGGCAGUACUUGGUAUGGAUAAAAUAUUCCCCAAGAAUAUUAUUAUACCACCUAAUCAUGGCUUCAUUUACUCACCUUGAAGUCUUGUGUGUGACACUUUGUAGCUUCAUGUGGUGAAUGGAUGGGAAUCUUUUGUGGUUUGCAUACUUUGAUCCAGUGAUUGGUCUCUGGCCCUGAGGACUUAUAUAAGAAAGCAUUUCUGUGAAUUCGUGGGUUCCAUUUGGAAAUGGAAGCUGCCACGGACCGGACAUUGCCAGAUGGUCUCACAGCUAGGGAGAGGUACUUUUGUUGAGGGGAAAGAUUUGGUUAUCACAAGACACUCAGGGGUCUUCCUGGACAUGUCUGCUUGCUUGGUUCCACCUGCAGCCUGUCACUAGCUCCUGCUGGCAUUGCCUCUGGGAUGCGGUCUACAUCUGCUCUCUCCUUCCUGUCUUCCUGCUCCUAAUUUCUUCAACUCUCAGCAUUUCUCAGCUCAAUAGGCAGGCUUUGUGCUUAGCUUCUUUUGCCUCCAAUUCAUUUCAGGGAUGAUCUGAUAAGGCAUAAAUCUAGUGUGGACAAUCCACAUCAAAGUCUUUUGGAGACAUUUUCACAAGUAGAUGCCUUCCACUGUGGGAGAAAUCCCUUGUAAGGCCCCCCUUCCUCUACCAUCUCUUCCCUCUCCCCUCUAUGUCUUUCUAUGAGUGCUGCAAGCACCUCAGGCCCUCUGCCCAGUGCAAGCCUGUUUUCCUGCAUCUCAAUGCUGGCUUCUUUUGUCCUGGGAACUGCUGGGCAUCUUCAGGGCUCUGUCCUUGCUUUGUUUCUCCAGGAGGUCUUCCUUGGCUCCCCUCCUGCCAACUCUAGAUCCUCUUUCUUCUCUUUCUGUGGCCAUUGCCUAUUUAUCACAUUGUCCUAUGGAGCAGUUACUAAUGUCCAUGUCUGUCCCUUCACGAGGCUCUAAGUUCUUCUUGUCUUCAGUAGAUGACUGAUAGUGUUUGGUAACAUUUUUUAAAGUGUAAACAGAAUAUGUGUACAAUUACUUCACUUUAAACACAGAUCUAAUGUUUUUUACAUAAAAAUAUACAGUUUGAUAUUUUGUGCACAAAGGUAAAAAAAUAUAUUUUUUAAAAUGUCAAUUCAGGCUAAGAGUUGAUCUGUACAAUUUAGAAUAUGCAAAGAGAAAUGAAAAAGAAAUGGAAUUACUACAAGCUAUGAUGCCAUUAGUAUACUGGUUAAUCUUAUUCAGAGUUACUUCACCGGCAGGGAUAAGGUAAGUGUUACUAUAACUGGCAUGACUGUUGGUGUGAAAUAGUUACAUCCUAACAUUACAGGGCUCUUGUAGGUCGAGAAAGCUUUGCUUUCUCAACCUAUGUUAUUCUUGUAUUAAAAGAGAGCAUGUAAGAGCCAGGUGUAGUUAGAAUAGACAAAUGACUUGCCAGAAAUUGCUGGGCAUUCAAGAUUCAGAACAAUCACAAGCCAUAUGAUCUCUCCCUGUAGUGGUUAAUCUUGUAAACCUGACAGGAUUCAGAACUACCACAGAAACAUGUCCCUGGGUGUGUUUAUGAGGGUGCUUCCUGGAAGGUUUAAUCAAACAGGAAGACGUACCCAAUAUGUGGUAACUCUGUCUCGUGGGGUGGGAUCCUGGACCAAAUGAGAAGGGAAAAAUGAGUUGCAUACUAAUGAUCAUUGCUCUCUGCUUCCUGACUGUGGGUGCCUCUGGAUGCUCUGAUGGAUUGUAUAUUGGCAAAAUAAAUACUUCCUAUAGUU